rnacentral:lncRNA from 10 species
GGGAGACUGAGGCAUGGCGGGAUGCAGGUCCCAAGCCCUUCCCCGCGGGGAGGCAGCUAAGGCCCGGCAAGAAAUCGAGCACAGCAGCUGCUAGCGCAGGUGCUAAGCCCCUCACUGCCCGGGGCUUGCGGGCCGGCCUGCUGCUCCGAGUGCUGGGCCAGCCGAGCCCACGCCCCCCCGGAACUGGCGCUGGCCCGCAAGCGCCGCGCGCAGCCCCAGUUUCCGCCCGCGCCUCUCCCUCCACGCCUCCUCGCAAGCUGAGGGAGUCGGCUCCGGCCUUGGCCAGCCCAGAAAGGGGCUCCCACAGUGCAACGGUGGGCUGAAGGGCCAGAGUGGGCGCCAAGGGCGAGGAGGCGCCGAGAGCGAGUGGGGGCUGCCAGCACGGUGUCACCUCUCACCAGUAGUUGUGAUUUUUGCUGUCACCCCCAUGGAUUAUGAAUUCACUUUGUCUGGGUAACAGUGGAAACCCUCGGAAGUUGUUUCCACUGUUUCAUCUAAAAGAAGUCGCCAAAACGAAGUUUUCUCAGUGCCAAAGCAUGGACUCAGUGACUGGCAAUGUUUGGGAUUGCAGAGGCUCCAGUAGCCUGGGAAGGCCACUGAAGAAAUACCCUGGCUCCGGCGAAUGUUAUAAGAAGAUAAGAGGUCUUCAUGUCUACCAGCCAGCUAUUCCUAAUCCAAUUGGUGUAUCUUCCUUCUGUUUCAACGAUUCUUAUAUCUAGUUUUUCAUACCCACGGAAUUCAGAUGGUUGGACAUGACUGAACCCUGGUUUCAACGUAACCGUGUAAAAUAAUUGCUGUUUUUCACAUUUUAAAGAAGGAUUUCAGACUUGAAGACAAGAAGCUCCUUUCUCCUCAAUAGUGCUCACUCUUCUUUAGUCAAAUUUUAAAAGGCUCUGAGCUGCUAAUCUGUACAAAUAUAAAAUACGAAAAUAAAA